rnacentral:tRNA from 1 species
GGGCCGAUAGCUCAGCUGGGAGAGCGCUGCGUUCGCAAUGCAGAGGUCGGGAGUUCGAUCCUCCUUCGGUCCAC